rnacentral:misc_RNA from 1 species
AUUUUUCCUUUACAUGGGUACUUGGGAAGGCAGAUGUCCGCAAAGUCUCUUGAGUCUCAUCAAUCAUUUUACGCCUUGGUAUGCUCAAUAUGAAAGCUGCCUGAUCAGCGGUGGCAGCCAUAGAAGUUAUUCUAAACCCACCUUCCCACCGUCGAUGUAUUCCUUCACUUGGGUAAAGGAAGUCAAGUUCAACAACCUGUUCUGCGUAUCCAGCAUUUCGGGACAUCACCACACCCCAGCGACU